rnacentral:lncRNA from 1 species
UGUUUCUUGGUAUCAAAUCAAAUUUUGAUAGAAAUUUGCCCAUCUCAAUAAAGAGUAAUACUAUUUGUACAUAAUGAUACAAUGAUUUAAUUUGAAAUCACUUGUCCUGGCAAAUUAAUCAACAACAUAAUUACACACGAAAGCCAUUGUGGACCAUCGACAGUCGAACUGGUUGAGCCAGCCAGUCCAGUCUAAUCCCGAUUCCAAAGCGCUCAGACAUUGAUUUAUUUAGGCAUGUCUACUUUUUUCAUAUAUAUUCCUACAAACAUUCUUGAAGCUUAAGCUUACAUGCAAACUAUAGAAAAGAAAUAAGUGUACCAUAAAUAUAUAAAGAAAAUUCACUUGCUCGCUGAUCCUAAAUUUACAAGGCAAAUGUUCACCAAGCAGAAAAGGCCUCAAGCUACCGUUCUUCCGAUGUGAACAUGUUCCAUGCUUCCUGAAGAUAAAAUGAAGCCACAAAACAUUCAAAUGAUUUG